AUCUUGAUAGCUUAAGUAUAAAGCAUAGUCCUGAAGAGACUAAGAUGUUUUCUCAAGAUG
rnacentral:tRNA from 1 species